CUACCCCUCAAGCGCGGCUUGUGUGUUGGGCGCUGUCCCCCCCCUUUUUCGGGGGGGGGGACAGGCCUGAAAGGCAGUGGCGGCGUCGCGUCCGGUCCUCGAGCGUAUGGGGCUUUGUCACCCGCUCUGUGAGGAUCCGGCCGGGGCCUGUCUCACCCCCAAUCUUCUCUAA
rnacentral:misc_RNA from 1 species